rnacentral:rRNA from 1 species
UACGUAGGGGGCAAGCGUUGUCCGGAUUUACUGGGCGUAAAGAGCGCGCGGGCGGUCGUUCAAGUCGCGUGUGAAAGCCCCCGGCUCAACUGGGGAGGGUCACGCGAUACUGAUCGACUCGAAGGCAGGAGAGGGUAGUGGAAUUCCCGGUGUAGUGGUGAAAUGCGUAGAUAUCGGGAGGAACACCAGUGGCGAAGGCGACUACCUGGGCUGUUUCUUGACGCUGAGGCGCGAAAGCUAGGGGAGCAAACGGG